GACGAAUGCUGGCGGCGUGCCUAAUACAUGCAAGUUGAGCGAUGAAGCUUGGUGCUUGCACCAAUUUGAAGAGCAGCGAACGGGUGAGUAACGCGUGGGGAAUCUGCCUUUGAGCGGGGGACAACAUUUGGAAACGAAUGCUAAUACCGCAUAACAACUUUAAACAUAAGUUUUAAGUUUGAAAGAUGCAAUUGCAUCACUCAAAGAUGAUCCCGCGUUGUAUUAGCUAGUUGGUGAGGUAAAGGCUCACCAAGGCGAUGAUACAUAGCCGACCUGAGAGGGUGAUCGGCCACAUUGGGACUGAGACACGGCCCAAACUCCUACGGGAGGCAGCAGUAGGGAAUCUUCGGCAAUGGACGAAAGUCUGACCGAGCAACGCCGCGUGAGUGAAGAAGGUUUUCGGAUCGUAAAACUCUGUGGGUAGAGAAGAACGUUGGUGAGAGUGGAAAGCUCAUCAAGUGACGGUAACUACCCAGAAAGGGACGGCUAACUACGUG
rnacentral:rRNA from 1 species